UACGGGGGGAGCAAGCGUUGUUCGGAUUUACUGGGCGUAAAGGGCGCGUAGGCGGCCACCGCAAGUCGACUGUGAAAUCUCCGGGCUUAACUCGGAAAGGUCAGCCGAUACUGCGGGGCUAGAGUGCAGAAGGGGCAACUGGAAUUCUCGGUGUAGCGGUGAAAUGCGUAGAUAUCGAGAGGAACACCUGCGGCGAAGGCGGGUUGCCGGGCUGACACUGACGCUGAGGCGCGAAAGCUAGGGGAGCGAACGGG
rnacentral:rRNA from 1 species